GCCUCGGUAGCUCAGUGGUAGAGCAAAGGACUGAAAAUCCUUGUGUCGUCAGUUCAAUUCUGACCCGGGGCACAA
rnacentral:tRNA from 3 species